GACGAACGCUGGCGGCGUGCUUAACACAUGCAAGUCGAACGGAAAGGCCCUGCUUUUGUGGGGUGCUCGAGUGGCGAAAGGGUGAGUAACACGUGAGUAACCUGCCCUUGACUUUGGGAUAACUUCAGGAAACUGGGGCUAAUACCGGAUAGGAGCACCUGCUGCAUGGUGGGUGUUGGAAAGUUUCGGCGGUUGAGGAUGGACGUGCGGCUUAUCAGCUUGUUGGUGGGGUAGUGGCUUACCAAGGCUUUGACGGGUAGCCGGCCUGGGAGGGUGACCGGGCACAUUGGGACUCAGAUACGAGCCGGAGUCCUACGGGAGGCAGCAGUGGGGAAUAGUGCGCGAUAGGCGGAAGCCUUAUACAGCAACGCCGCGUGCGGGAUGACUGCCUUCGGGGUGUAAACCGCUUGCGCCUGUAACGAAGCGUGAGUGACGGUAAUGGGUAAAGAAGCACCGGCUAACUACGUG
rnacentral:rRNA from 1 species